rnacentral:tRNA from 1 species
AGGGGUGUAGUUCUGGGAUAAUGUGUGUGCCUAGCAUGCAUGAGGCUCUGGGUUUGAUCCCCAGCACCCCCA